rnacentral:rRNA from 1 species
GACGAACGCUGGCGGCGUGCUUAACACAUGCAAAUCGAACGGAAAGGCCCUUCGGGGUACUCGAGUGGCGAACGGGUGAGUAACACGUGGGUGAUCUGCCCUGCACUUUGGGAUAAGCCUGGGAAACUGGGUCUAAUACCGAAUAGGACCACGCGCAUCAUGGUGUGUGGUGGAAAGCUUUUGCGGUGUGGGAUGGGCCCGCGGCCUAUCAGCUUGUUGGUGGGGUAAUGGCCUACCAAGGCGACGACGGGUAGCCGGCCUGAGAGGGUGACCGGCCACACUGGGACUGAGGUACGGCCCAGACUCGUACGGGAGGCAGCAGUGGGGAAUAUUGCACAAUGGGCGCAAGCCUGAUGCAGCGACGCCGCGUGAGGGAUGACGGCCUUCGGGUUGUAAACCUCUUUCAAUAGGGACGAAGCGCAAGUGACGGUACCUAUAGAAGAAGCACCGGCCAACUACGUG